rnacentral:rRNA from 1 species
UACGUAGGGGGCGAGCGUUGUCCGGAAUCAUUGGGCGUAAAGCGCGUGUAGGCGGUCCGGUAAGUCCGCUGUGAAAGUCCAGGGCUCAACCCUGGAAUGCCGGUGGAUACUGUCGAGCUCGAGUCCGGAAGAGGCGAGUGGAAUUCCUGGUGUAGCGGUGAAAUGCGUAGAUAUCGAGAGGAACACCUGCGGCGAAGGCGGGUUGCUGGGCUGACACUGACGCUGAGGCGCGAAAGCCAGGGGAGCGAACGGG